CACACGUGUGCUCUUCCCAUCUGGCCUGUGUGUGCUCAGUGGAAUGUGGGGCCAGGGACACCUACUUCCAGGAACCUCCCAUGUGGCUCCCAUGUGGCCUCCGCUCAGUCCCCCUGCCGUGGUCUCACUCCUUGGGGCACCUCUUGGGGACCUUGGAGGGCACUAUGUCCUCAGUCCUCCAUGGGCACCUGGUAGGCCACUCCCCCAAGUGCCUUGGAGCACACCAGUCAGCCUGACUCAAUUCUCCAGGUACAAUCCUGUUCCUGCUGGCCUCCUUGUGUCCCAUACCUGCCCACACCUCACACCCUGACACCUGCCACGUCCUCGAGGGACCGUAUUUGUGUGAUCAUAGGGUAGACCCCCUGUGUUUAUGGGGGUCGCAGAUGACAGGGUGGUGGGUGUUGUGCAGAGAGGACAUCAGACUCUUGGGGGAGGAGUUUCCUUGUGCUCUGGGCAUGGGGUUAGGCGGGCCCAGGCCUCCCUUUCUGGUGUUCACACAGCCUGUGCCCUGACAGCCAGGCCAGCUGGUGAGGCCGCAGCUGUCCCCCAGCCUCCCUCUUCCUGCAGCUGCACUUGUGACCCUAGGAGGGGCAGCCAUGCUUAGCAACAAGAGUGCAGGGCACGACAGACAGCGGGUGACUUUUAGAGUAAGGACGUUCUCUGCAGUGUUUGGAAGGUGCUUUUUGCUAAAGACAUCGUUCACUGUUUAUCUGAUAAAUUUACCUGGCAACACUGGCCCAGAGGCAGUGCCACCAGGCAUCUGGGGACAUUUGUGCUUGUGACUCAGGGCUGGGGGUGUUGGUGCUCCUGACAUCGAAUGGGUCAGGCCUGGCAAGCAACCCUGGGCACAGAUGUACCUCCUCCCCCCCACCCCCUGUUCCUCAGCUGUAGCAAGUGCAGCAGACAGUCUGAUUUGGGGGCACAGGGGGGCCGGGGUGCACUCUACCUUUGUUGGUCCCCAGGGUCUGCCUGGCGCACAGUCAUGGGCACAGGUGGCCAGGGAAGUGCCUGAGCCCAGAAUGGGGACCUGCCUGCCUUGACCUGCCUCAGCACCCCUGGGAACCUGGCUCCCUGGCCAGGACCCUCAGAGGCUGGUGCUCCCCCACGACUUCACAUUGUGCCCAGCCCUGCCUGAUUCCUCCCCUGCCAUCUUUCAUGUUGUCUCUGAGGGUGGUUUUUACCCGAGACUUAAAAUGAAAACACAGGUGCAUGUGGCAGAGAACCCUAACGGUGCGGGGCGGUUUACAGUGGGAGAUACCCCUUUGCUGCUUCUUCCCAACCUGCAUAGACAUCCGGAGCCCUGUCCUCUGAGACAGCUUCUUUUCCUUUAUGACUCUUUUGAAAUAAUGGUGGAUUCACAGGGAGCACGGGAAGGAGCAGGGAGGCCUGUGCACUCUUGCCCCAGUCCCACAGGGCGGUGUCUUGCCUCCUGGAGUCUGGGGUCACGAUCAGAGGUGGGACAUGGGCCACUAACAGAGCUCAUGCAGGAUCCCCGCAGACUCAAUGCGCCAGCACGUGUGAACACACUUGCCGGUGUCUGUGCCUUGGUCACACGUGUGGCCCCUGUGACCUCGAUGAGGACAGCUGUUCCAUCACCACCACUGGGUCCCCUGUCCCCUGUGCAGCACACCUGCCCUUCUCACCCCAGCUCCUCUCCUGGCUUUUUACCAUUUGUCUGACCAGUAGGUCACCUCGAAGUCUGACAAGUGGAACUGCUUGGGAUUGGACUCACACACCUUGAUACCCUGUGGUUCUGCCCACUUGUAUCAGUGUGACCCAUGGCUGCUGUUUGUGGUGGGAGUGGGGGUGGGGAAUGUGGACACGAUAGAGUGUGCACUGUAGGGUGAGCCCCCAGAGGUGGGACCCCAAGCAAGUCCUUGCUUUUCUUUCCUGUGGGGGUAACUGGUUUCUCCAGGGCAGCACUUAAUCCUGUACUGUCUGGGGGCACCAGCUGAUGGGCUCUGAGGGAGGGGCCAUGGACAUCAGCUGGUGGGCUCUGUGGGAG